UACCUGGUUGAUCCUGCCAGUAGUCAUAUGGCUUG
rnacentral:rRNA from 2 species